rnacentral:rRNA from 1 species
GCCUUGACUUUGGGAUAACUUCAGGAAACUGGGGCUAAUACCGGAUAGGAGCUCCUGCUGCAUGGUGGGGGUUGGAAAGUUUCGGCGGUUGGGGAUGGACUCGCGGCUUAUCAGCUUGUUGGUGGGGUAGUGGCUUACCAAGGCUUUGACGGGUAGCCGGCCUGAGAGGGUGACCGGCCACAUUGGGACUGAGAUACGGCCCAG